GUGGGGAAUUUUGGACAAUGGGCGCAAGCCUGAUCCAGCAAUGCCGCGUGCAGGAAGAAGGCCUUCGGGUUGUAAACUGCUUUUGUACGGAACGAAACGGUCCUGGCUAAUAUCCGGGGCUAAUGACGGUACCGUAAGAAUAAGCACCGGCUAACUACGUGCCAGCAGCCGCGGUAAUAAGUAGGGUGCGAGCGUUAAUCGGAAUUACUGGGCGUAAAGCGUGCGCAGGCGGUGCUGUAAGACAGGCGUGAAAUCCCCGGGCUCAACCUGGGAAUUGCGCUUGUGACUGCAGUGCUGGAGUGCGGCAGAGGGGGAUGGAAUUCCGCGUGUAGCAGUGAAAUGCGUAGAUAUGCGGAGGAACACCGAUGGCGAAGGCAAUCCCCUGGGCCUGCACUGACGCUCAUGCACGAAAGCGUGGGGAGCAAACAGGAUUAGAUACCCGUGUAGUCC
rnacentral:rRNA from 1 species